CGCCCAACGCUGUUGAAAUUUACAGCUAUAUUUCCAUUUCUUUGCAGGAACACCGCCUUCACCUGCCAUUUUUAUCGGCUCGCUUUCAGGUCUGAACUUUCCGCGAAGCUUACGCAGAGAUCAACUGGGUUAUAGGUUGCCAGGUUGAGGUGACAAACGGGUUGAAAAUUGUAUAUGGUGUGUGGAUUGUGUGAAUAGGAUGCGUUUCAUACAAGAUCUGGCAACUGGU